UGUGUGUGUGUGUGUCACCACCAAGUUGAGGGAGGAGUUGGAAGCCAGCAACAUUUUACUGCAAGGUCAAACCGCAAGUAGAGUCGCAUUUCGCAUUGAAGAUAAAAUUAAUCGGACGCAAAAUAAAUUAAAAAAUUACUGACCACAAAAGCUGCAGGAAUCCCUGGACAUCCUUCAGAAACAAUUGGAUGAAGUGUCCCAGUGUCAGAGAGAAGAAGGAGCUACUCAACUAGAAGUGAAAUGAGGGAGACAAGCCGAGCAUCUGAGGAAGAACAUCAAUGCUGUAUUUGCUAAAUGUCACCAGCUGCUGACUGAGGAGCAGCGAGACCUGAUCACCAAACUCAAACAGAAAGAGGAGGCCAUCUUAGGAAAAGUUGAAAACAAUAAGAGCCAUAUUUCCAAGCAAAUUACUUCUGUUAACCAAAGAAUAACAGAAAUCCAGACAAGGCUGACUCUCCAGAACACCAAAUUCCUGAAGAUUUUCGUGAAUCUUCAAUUACCAGUGAACCAACAUCUAUCUCAACACAAACCACAGAUCUUCCUGUAACCGAAAAAAAUCCACCCACAAUUUUGUAUCCUACAAUCCCUCAAAAUAACUACAUAGAAGGUACAUUCUUAUUUCUCAGGCCAACAACUCACUGCAGGGUCUCUGAUUUGAUGGAAAAGUCCAUCUGCAGCUGUAUUGGAAGAAACUGAAAUUUGAAUCUAUUUCAAAUGUGAUUUU